rnacentral:rRNA from 1 species
CCCUUAGAUGUUCUGGGCCGCACGCGUGCUACACUGAGUGGAUCAGCGGGUCAGGUUGCGCGAAAGUGUUUCCUAAUCUUUAAAUCCGCUCGUGAUGGGGAUUGACGGUUGCAAUUUUCCGUCAUGAACGAGGAAUACCUUGUAAGCGCGGGUCAUCAUCCCGCGCUGAAUACGUCCCUGCCCUUUGUACACACCGCCCGUCGCUCCUACCGAUUGAGUGGUCCGGUGAGGCUUUGGGAUCUGGGCGGGAAGAGCGUUUCGCUGUUUCUGCCCGGAAAACUCAGUCGAACCUUAUCAUUUAGAGGAAGGAGAAGUCGUAACA